UCUCCUGCAUUGUAGGCAGAUGCCUUACUGUCUGAGCCACCAGGGAAGUCCCACAGACUGAGAAGGAGCCCACAAAUGAAAAGAAUGGAAGAGCCUGGUCAUCUGAAAUUGACUCUCAGCCUGGACUCUCAGGAGCUGAAUGACCUUGGGAUAUGGAUCCUGAAUAAAUUUUCUGCAGGCCUUCCUUCUGCAGAUAUCACCAUCAGCACCUGGAGGACUAACCUGUGGAAACUGGCAGUCCAAAAAAGCAGGUGGUGUUCACCCUAAAAAAUAUCCAGCACACUAGACUCCAUCUGAGCAUCUGCUUCUGAAGAACCCAACCAGCAACAGCAAGAAUUACAGAAGCAUUAGUUCUCUUCUGUCCCAUAAUUCUGAUGUCUUCAUGUGAGCAGGACCAGCUCUAAAUGCCAUGGUUCAGCAGAGAGUUCAGUACCCUACUAGUUCGUAUGGUUAAAUCUCAGUGGGGUUAUAUUAAUUUCUUAUUGCUGCUGUGAAAAACUACCACAAA